CGCCUGUGUGCGCGGAACCGAGCGGGAGGCGCUCCCCGCGCUGGCGGCCGCGUGAAGGCAGGCUACCGCCGGGGCCGCCCGCGAGCCGCCAUCGGCCCGCCCCCGAGGCGCCUUCAACGCGCCAGGGCGGCAGCUCGGCGCUCGGGUCCCCGGCCGUCCCCAGCCCGCGCCGCGCACGCGCACAGCCGCCCUCGCUGCCGCCCGCGCAAGGCCGCCGCGCAAGGGCGAUCCCGGGGACAGGGCGACGCUGCGCCACGGAAGCCCCUCCUCAGCUUCCGCCGGCGGCGCCGGGAUCUGACGGCUUCCCUCAGAGGGAAAAGAGGUGGAACGCGUGAUUUUGGAUUAGUGACCCCUGGGCCCCCUUCCCCAGCGCCUCCCGAGCCGGAGCCCGUUCUCGGCGGACGACCCCCAGGACUCCAGCUGAGCCCCUCCUCACAGUCCACCGAUGCGAGGUCUGAGGGGAGCCUUCGAGUCACUGCUCCCUCGGUCAAACGGGAGGAUUCCUCCACCGCCUUCAGCCCUUGAGCACGCGACGUUCAUUCCCGAAAUACGGGAGUGCCCUCCCUCGCGGUUCGCGUUUCACUGUCGGUUGCGCCCGCCGGGCACCGUCCGUCUGUCCAGCGGAUCCGCGCUGUGCGGGCUACCUGCCCGUUAGUCACUUAGCAGCGGUCUUGGUUGUUAGGUGGACUGUCGAGGGAUGGCAGUGCUCGUGUCCAAGUAACUUUUAUUUUGCUCAAUAAUGGCCCCAAAGUGCGAAAGUAGUGAUGCUGGCAAUUCGGAGAUGCCAAAGAGAAGCCCUAAAGUGCUUCCUUUGAGUUAAACCGUGUGGAAGUUCUCGACUUAAUAAGGAAAGAAAAAAAAUCAUUCGCUGAGGUUGCUCAGAUCUCUGACUGGCCCUGAGCUAACAUCCAUGACCAUCUUCCUCCACUUUAUAUGUGGGAUGCCUACCACAGCAUGGCUUGCCAAGCGGUACGAUGUCCACACCCGGGAUCCGAACCAGCGAACCCUGGGAUGCUGAGAAGCGGAAGGAAACUGCCAAACUGUUUUCACCAUUUCAAAUUGCCACCAGCAGAGUAUGACAGUACCUGUUGCUUUGCAUUUUUGUCAACACUUGAUAUUGUCAGCAGUUUUUAUUGAGCCAUUCUAAUAGAGGCAGUAGGAUGAAAAAGAAGACAUUUGGACAACUCUGCCCUGUCAACCCCUCUCUGCUCAGAGGUGCACAAAGGCAUGGAGUGUUACAGAGGAAGAAACUUUGAAUGGAGAACACUCAAUUCGAGCCCAUUCAUUAAUAGGUGAAGAAUCCGAGGCCCAACAGCAAGGUGACUUCCUAACUUCAACCAGGCACCACCAUGGAAAAUCAGGGCCUGUUUUGGGUCUCAGUAAUCCGGAAGAACAAUGCACUUCAGGGCCCAAUGUCUAACAGCCGAUUUCCUAGAAGCAACUGCAGAGGGUGAGGACAACCCAAAAUUCAUCUCAUUUCUCAAAGAGAAGACAAAAUUUCUCCCAGAGGACUUUUGGCAGUGUCUGGAGACAUUUUUGUUGUCACAACUUGGGGAUGGGGUAUGGUGGUGCUACUGGAUGCUGGCGUUUACAGGCCAGGGAUACCCCUCAACAUCCUGAAAUGCAGAGGACAGCCCCACAACAAAGAGCUAUGCAGCCCCAAAUCUCAACAGCGCUGAAGUUGAGCAAGCUCCUUUAUUCCUAUUCAUUUCCUGUUGAUUAAUGAUGGAAUUCUUAGAGCGCACUCACGCUUGACGUCUUCAAGCGGUAAAAGGUAUCACUGUCCCCAUGCACUACUACUUUCAAGAAAUGCUGUGUUCAUUAUUGGCUAUUUGUGUUUCUUGAAUUUUAGUGAUUUCUGUAUCACUUUCACUUUUUAGCCGAUCAUCGUUGUAUAAGACAAUUUGUACUCUAGUAUACAGCAACAAAUUGCUUGCCCUGAAUUUACAUUUAGCUGUUUUUCUUUAAUAAAAAUCAAAGAAUUGUGUGUCCUGCCUUUGUAAGUCCUAAACACAUAGCGUAAGUUUUUGCCGACUGUGAAUUUUUAAUACUAACUUCAAAUAAAACAGUUUUUUGGAGACCAUAAUGUCGGUUUUAAAAAAUGAAAAAUCUAAAACCAUCUACUUCCACGUGGAGUAGCAUAGCAGCU
ensembl:lncRNA